CUCUAUUAACCAACUUUGGGGUUGUUGAUUGUUUUUCCACUUUCUUUAGAAGUGCAUUGAAUAUGCAGAUGAGAAAGUGAUUUAAAGUGGGGCGAUCGGACUGAUCGCUUCAGACAUCUUCUGAAACAUCAGGAUCAUCAGGUCUACAGCGAAAUCAACAUGAAGACUCUCAGCCUGACGGUGGGACUGCUGCUUGUACUCUUCAUCAUUUACUACGGCGAUGCCGCACCUCAUGGAGUGAAACCAACACCUGACCUUUGCUGUUUUAAAUUCUAUGGGAGAAAGAUCCCAACAAAGCAGAUCAAAUCCAUCAAAAAAACUCACAGCAAAUGCACAACACCAGCAUUUGUGAUCAAGACACCCAGAGGAGAUUUCUGCGUGAGACAGAGUGAGAAUUGGGCAUUGAAAGCAUUUGUCCAAAGCAAAUAACACAAUGAAGACAUGGAGAAUCUACCGCGCAAAAUGCCGAAAUGCAUCAAUUACUCCAUGAAUUUGCUUUUUAAUCCAGAAGUGUUGCUGGAGUUUUGACCUCUCCAUAAUGUGCCUGCUUAAUUACUGUCAGCAUUUCUGAAGACAAGAUACAUUUAUUAUGCAUUGAUUUAAUUCAAAAUAAAGAUAUCAAUUUUAGAAUUUGAAUGAAAUGUUAAAAAUUCUUUUUCUGAGGUUUUCUGUUUCGUUGCCACAGGUGUAUGAAAUCAAACACAUCUUUACAAUUGGCAGUCUUUACAAACAUUUGUGAAAGAAUCAGUCGCUUUGAAGACUGUGACACUUCUCUCUUUGAAAUACCACAAUCAUCUGAAAGUGAAAGCAUUCAGUGACGGAUUAGAUAAAGUUACAUGGUGGGGUUGGUGAUUGCAGAGACAGAGGGCUGGAAACAUCUCCAGUGCUCUGCUGACUCAGUAUCAUGUGUUUCCACGUGUAGGUGGCCCAAACUUUUGUCCAUAUAGUAUUCCACACUGCCUACAUUCACUUAAAGCAUGUUGUCCCAGCUUGAUGUGACAAUGUCCCAAAGAGCACUGCUAGGCUUUCUUUGGUCUUGGAGACGUUCUUCAAAGCUCUGAGGUGUGUUUUAGGCUCAUUCACACACUACUCUGUAACUUACUUUCCCACAAAGAUCCAAAUCACUGUUGAAGUGCAUUUCUCAAGAACAGAGUGCCACUUGUCCUCAGUCAGCGUGCAGUUGAUUUCAGUUCAGGUUACCACCUGUAGAGCAGGAAACGCCUCCUUAUAUUCCACUUUAUUUUCCUGCUGCUUAUCUCUAACUGAGCUAUCGUUAAUUUGAAAUGUUUUUGAUUCUGCAGACUUUGAGGUUAUUUCCAGGUUGAAAUGAGUGAUUUGUUUUCACUUUGCCAUUGUGAUACAGAUACAGUAUAUCCAAAGCAUUUGUAUCUCACUCUGUAUUGUUUUGCUUCAUUCUUGAAUAAAGUUUUGUUUCACAAAAAUCAACGACCAUCUGACAGUGAAUGUGUGCUUUUAUGCUUUGGCCUAAUUAAUGGAAUUCAUCAGAAUGCAGGUUAUAAAAGUUUGUUAAUGUAGUUGAAGGUCAAAGUGGAAAAUGUGUCAUAGGAAGAACUCUCACAAACUCAUUAUCUGAACGUGGGAAAAUUCUCUGAGCUGCUCUGAAGUUGAAUGUGAAUCUACACAAAUGUUUAUGUAAACAAAUGCAAUGUGAAAACUGGAAGUCAUCAAUAGUUAUCAAAAGUUUAAAAUUAAAGUGUAAAGAAAUAUUUUCAUAUUCAUAAGUUUUAAAUUUUCCAUGUGAGAGAAGGAGUGGAUUACUUUAAGACUUCAUGAAGAUGCGCUUUUUAAGGGGAAACCAGAUUAGGAGCAGUCACAGUCCAGGUGAGUUGGCUGUAUUUGUUCAUAUUGCCCUUGUCAGUGUACCUGCGAUGUUCACAUGAUAGUGAUCCAGAACAAUCAACUGUCAGUAUUUAAGACCAGUGCCGACAUCUCUUCUUUGCCAGUUAACCACACGUUAGUAACAGGCUGCCUUAGCGUCUCAUGCGGUGUUUCUGUGAUGAACUUACCUUGUUCUCCUUGUGCUCUCAGUCGUGUCUCUGAUCCAUCCUUCACAUUGUCUGCAGACUGCAUUCCUACCUGGACGCUGGUCACCACCUUUGGAUUCCUUCAUGUUCAUGUUCGCUCUUCUCGCUCUUCACCACCUGCCUGCCCUCCUGCCUUCAACUGUUCUGGAUCACUGGAUUAAUCAGGUUGGGCUCACUCCACUCAUCCACCUUGCAGGACGUUCACCAGGCCAACAUUACUCUCCCGGGAGCAACCUCCACUCCACCUGCCAAGUAGGCCACAAAACUCAGAUCUGUCUCACCCUCUCUAACCUUUGUCUCCCCGUGCCUUGACUUUAUCACUGCUUCCAUGAUUGAAUCUACUUUUGGGUCCAGGUUCACGUACUGGCCUCCAGGCCCAUGUGACAAACAGAGGAAAAUGGUCAGGCUGCUUUGAGGUGACAGGAUGGAAACAGUAACUCAAAUAACCACAGCAAAAGAACACACCGAGUGCUGCUCAAGUCAGUCAUAAACAAAACUUUCCAUGCGGGAGGAGGAGGGGUGGAUAUUACUUUAAGUUUCCCUAAAGAAAAACACUUUUUAAAAAGAAAACCAUGUUUGGUGCUCUUAUUGCUUUAGUUAUUUUGUAGACUUUGACUUUAUACAAAAGCUAACAAAACUUUCUAUAUAAUUUUGUUAGCUUUUAUCAUUUCACAAUUUCAGAUAUUAAACAGUAAGUGACCAUAUAUAUAGCCUGCUAUGUAUCAAUAGUUCAGGCUGCUGCUGAUAGAGUAAGGGUAUGGAAGAUAAACUACACUGCUGGCAGGGUUUAAUACAACCAACUGGCACUAAGAAUAACUCAGAGAAGAGAGAGCAGGUUAAUGAGGGUGCCCAGAGGACAAUAACAGUAUGUGUGUAUGAGAUUUGAAGAUCAUUGCAUUUAGUUUUUAUUUACAUUUUACAAAGCAUCCCAAGAUUUUUGGAGUUUUCCAGAGGAACAGGAUGCUGUUUGAAAUCCACGUAAAUGUUACCACUGGAGGGUGAGAAGGCCGAUGGGGAAUUUGAGGAAGGUAAUUCAGAUUUUGAUGAGUGUAGCUGCUUGUAUGGUGAUGAGGACUGGAGAUAGGAGGCUCUUCAGUCGGCAGAAGGACCACUAGAAACAAGGAGACGUAAGAGCAAGAACACAAGGUAGCCUCUUACAGAACUCGGUUUGGACUGUUACACUCCUCUUUGGAGGCAAGAGACGAGCACAGCAGGUCUUAUUACACUGACAUUAAUGAUGUAGAUGAUAAUCAGGCGUGUUCGGCUGAAGAACGAGGAAUCCAAUCUCCACCCAAUGGCCAACUUGGGAGAGAGAGAGAAACUGAAAACAAACCAGCACUCAUUAUUGUCAACGGGCGUCCGGUUCCCUGAGAGGGAUCCAGACACUGGCGGAAGGUUUAUCACAAGCUUAAUAAUAAAUAAUAAGAAAAAAAAUAAUAAUAAUAAAUACAGAGAGAUAAGCAAUGACACAGUGUGGAUAUGUAGUGGGGAGUUUCUGACAUGAAGGUACAUGAAGGUAUUUCUACUAAUUUACUUUUAACAUUAUUAUUUCAGUGAAACAAUAAACAACCUUUCUAUUUUUUAAUGUUAAGGUAAAACAAUCUGUAGUAUCCCCUCAAAAACAGCUUGCUUGUAUGCUGAUAAGGACUGAGAACAGGAGGCUCUUCAAUCAGCAGAAGAACCACCAGAAACAAGAUGAGAACGUGACUUAAAGCGGGGUGAACGGACCGUUCAUUCAGACAUCUUCUGAAACAUCAGGAUUCAUCAGGUCUACAGUGAAGUCAACAUGAAGACUCUCAGCCUGACAGUGGGACUGCUGCUCGUGCUGUUCACCGUUUACCACAGCGAUGCCUCUAAGGCAGUGAAUUCACCUGACUUUUGCUGUUUUCACUUCUUUGACAAACGGAUCCCAAAGGCAAACAUCGUCUCCAUCGUGAAAACUCACAGACAAUGCUCCACACCAGCAUUUGUGAUCAAGACACCCAGAGGGCUUUUCUGUGUGAAACAGACUGUGAAGUGGGCAAUGGAACAAUUUGUCAAACAAGAGAGAGCGAAAAUUGAACCAAUGCUACAGUUAACACUUCAAAAAUCACAAAAUACUGUCACUCCAUGAAGUUACUUUGUAAACUGUUGCUGGAAUUUUAACCCCUUCAUUCUUUACCUGCUUAAUUACAGCUGCAGAAUAUAGAAAACAUUUAUUUUAUGCUGAUUUCAUUUUUUUUUUACAUUAUCACAAUAUCAGCUUCAUCAUUUGGGAAUUUUGUUAAUCCCGUAUGUAAAACUCAGUUGAUAAAAUGUCUUCCCUCAUUAAUAUCCCAUAAUCAUCUGAAGGUGGUCUUACUGUAAGAUGGGAGCAUUUAAGAGCCACAUGAAGUGCCAGACGACAUAAAGUUAGAUGGCAGGAUUAGUGAGUGCAAAGAUAGAGUGCUGAAAAAGUCUCCAAUGUUUUGUUGACUAAGUAACUCCAGAGUUCCUCUUCUGGAAUUCAAAUUGAAGUGUGGGUUUUCAUGGCCUGUAGGUGUAAUGUGUAGGUGACCCCAUACUUUUGUCCAUAUAGUAUUCUGCACCGCCUACCUUCCCUUAAACCAUGUUGACCCAGGUUGAUGUGACAGUGUCUCAAAGAGCCUCAUUUGAUGAGCAAAGUUUAUGUUAGUCAGCACUCUUAGGCUUUCUUUAAGCAGAUCUCCAAAGCUUUGAGGUGUGUUUGGCUUCAAUAUCCUGCUGCAGUGUGAAUUCUUCUCCACAAAGAUCUACAUCACUGUUGGAGCACAUCUCUGAAGAAUGGAUCACUGCUUGCCCUCAGUCAGGGUGCAGCUGAUUCACACCAGGUGUUCAGCUCUGGGUCUGGAAACACCACCAGACCCAAACUCUCACUGUCUGAUCCACUGUGGUGUCUCUCCCUCUCCUUACAAAGGCCCUUGUUUUCCUGGCUCUAAUCUCUGAGAGUGAUUGUUAAAAACAAUUUCAAAUAUUUUUGAUUAUUUUCAGGUUCAGAUGAAAGUUUUGCACACAUUAAAUGUGUUCUCAGGCUUUUGGAUCUAGCUAUGUAUAACAUGUAUCAAAUCAUGUGAUCAUUUGUCUUCACUGUGUUAUUGUUAUGCUGCUACAGUAUAUCUAAAAAGAUUGUAUAUGUCUUUCUUUAUUAUUUUGCUUUAUUCUUCAUUAAAGUUUCAUUUCACAAAGCUCAA